rnacentral:rRNA from 1 species
GACAGAGGGUGCAAACGUUGCUCGGAUUGACUGGGCGUAAAGCGCGUGUAGGUGGUCCCGCGAGUCAGGUGUGAAAGCCCAGGGCUCAACCCUGGAAGUGCACCUGAUACUACGGGGCUGGAGUUCUGUAGAGGAGAGCGGAAUUCCCGGUGUAGAGGUGAAAUUCGUAGAUAUCGGGAGGAACACCAGUGGCGAAGGCGGCUCUCUGGACAGGUACUGACACUGAGACGCGAAAGCGUGGGUAGCAAACAGG